GGUGCUACAGCGCCUGCGCAGACUACUUCCCGGGCCCCGGGCAGCGUCGGAAGAAGGCUUGAGCGUAAUUGGCUCCUGUAGGCGGAGCCUGGCUGGGAGAGAGACGAGGCUAACUUAUUAUCGUGUACUCCGUCAUUAUUUAUCUUUUUUUUUUUUUUGAGACAAGGUCUCUCUCUGUCGCCCAAGCUGGAGCGCAGUGGCGCAAUCGCAGCCUCGAACUCCUGGGCUCAAGUGAUCCUCCCACCUCAGUCUCCCAAACUGCUGGGACUACAGGCGACCGAAUUGAAGUAAAUAGCGCAAGGACCAAUGCUGACCUCAAGGUGGCACUCCAGUCUUGGAAUAAAGGGCUCUCUGGAAUCAUCUUAUUGACCUCCAACUGGACAUUGAAGUGAAGAGUUGACAUAAACUCUGGGCCCAUAGACCCCACGGUUUAAUUUCCUGAAGAGAAUCUACCAACGAAUUUGCUUUUCUGUUUUUAAAUCAGCUCUGAGGUAAGGCUGGAUCAAUAGAAUAGGUUUAAAGUAUGCCAGAAUGUCUCCAUCCAUAAAAAAUGUCAUCAGGGUUCAAAAGUAACCAAAAUAAUUUCACUAUUAUUAUUUAUUAAUAGAUACCAUUUAUUGAAUGUCUGCUCUGUGCUACAUUGGGUUCAGGGUACUUUUCAUAUUAUAUGAGCUCAUUGAGCUCACAGCAGCUCUAUGAGGUUGAUAUUACAGUGUUCUCAUUUUUCUGAGAAGAAACUAGGGCUCAGAGACAUUAAGUAGCUUGUCUCUCACAACAUAUAGGUAGUAAGUGGCCAUACUGGGUUUUGAACCCGAUCUGUGUGAUCCCCAAGCUUGCACUCUUUAAACAAGGCUGCAUUGCCUCAUAUUACUGAUGCCAAGAUAAAAGCAGCAAUUAAUGAAACUUGGUUUUCUUCAGGUAUAGACUAUUUGGCAUGAGGUGUUUUAAAUAAUAUCAUAUUUAAGGAGAUCUAAUGAGGGCCCCUAUUGUGAAUUUGUGGCCUCCUCUUGAAACUCUUUGCCACAUAUGAGAAACAGGAUAUUUACAUAGUCACAAAGUGUGUCCCACAAGGUAUUGAUUAAUUACGAAGAGAAAAAUAGAAAAUUUACAGGGAAGCAACCUGGAAGAUACCAUGUGAUGAAAUGGUCACAGUAUAAAUGGUAACAUAAAAGUGGUGAAAUAUCAAUAUGUACACCAUGGUGAUAUUCUUUUGCUUUUAUUGUGGAAGAGACAAAGGGACAAGGGAGGAUUUGCUGACAUUGGUCAGGAGUGGAGUAGAGGACUAAUUCCUAUCUUUGAUCUCCAUCUGUGAAAACCCAGAUUGCACAAAGAUUUCCAAAUGAAACAUUUACCUUUCUAAGGGGUAGAGAAUUAUUCGUGAAUCCUAGACUGUAUACAAGGGAAGACUCCCAAAAGAAAGAUACAAAUAAUAAAAUUCUAGAAUAAUGUUAUAGUACUGAUUGUAGGCUAUGGGGAGUGGGAGUUGGUUGUCCUACUAAUAAAAUGCUUAAUCAAGAGUG